GCUGCAGCCACCAGUUCCUGGUUGCCAAGUGAUAGCAAUGUGCACAUUCCAAGCUCUGUGCUCCCUUGGAAACUGUUCAGAUAUGAACUACAGAUCAGGCAAUGGGAGCAAUGAGGAGGAGUCCAACAAGCAUCCUUUUCCUUUGGUUCCCGCUAGCCGCUGACCUCCAGAGAGUUCUCUAUAAGAGUUAUGCUUCUUUAUGUCCACCAAACGCCUGACUAGAAUGCUGUGAGUUACUCGUGCUCCGAGCUCCUGUGGCUAGAGUCAGAAGCUAAUUUCACCGCCAUGCCUUUCUUAGGAAACAGUGGUUUCCACUGACUCCAGGAGGUCCACAAGACUCCAGGAGACUUGUCCACUUCGCGCCCGGCCUUCAGCUCUGCACAUCACUUGACUUCAGGAGAGGCAGGCCUUAAGGAAUCCUGAUGCUCUGCUUCUGAAAGUACACCCUUUCCAGGGCUCCAUUACUGAAGAUAUGGAACACUUCACGAACUUGCGUGCCAUCCUUGCGCAGGGGCCAUGCUAAUCUUCUCUGUAUCGUUCCAAUUUUAGUGUAUGUGUUGCCGAAGCGAGCACAGAUCAUAACUCUUACAGAGCUGUGAAAACAACUACACUAGAAUUGGAGAGCUCACCCCCUGAAUGCUGCCUUUUCCACUUCGUCCACUCUGCAGGGCACUGCACAGCUGCCAAGCUUCCAGACCAGAGCAGCCUGGGAAAGGCCUGGCAGGUGGCAUGGCUGUGAUAGUUUUGGAAACUAACAGCCCACAUCAAUGGUGAAAAAUCAUCCUGACAGCCUGCAUGUGCACAUGGGGAGAAACGUCCUUCAAGGCCUAGGAAGUAACAUUAUUCGUCUUAUCCGGUCAUAAUAAGGAAAGAUUCAAGCCAGAUGUGGUGGUGAUUUGCAGUAGCCAAGGGUGGAAUCGUUGUGAUAACAGCACAUUAGCAUGAAGCCAUAUAUCUAUCAACAGCUCUGGGCAGAGCACAGCCAUUGGCAUUGGCAGGCACAGCUUCCCCACAUUUGAUCUUGGCAUUUGAAAUCCCUCAGACCCCAGCUGGGCUUCCAAACCCUUCCAGGAGGGCUCCUCAAAAAGUGUCUAGCCCUGGCUCCACUCACAGGGCAGGACAGGGCAGGGCAGGGACCCUGCUUCUCACUUGGCUGCACAUUUGAGGCAAGCGGGGAGGCAGGAAGAGCAGAGGCCCAGAAAAGCCAGGCUCAGCAGGGGCUGUAGGAGCACGGUCCA